rnacentral:tRNA from 1 species
UAGAUUGAAGCCAGUAACUAGGGUAUUUAGCUGUUAACUAAAUUUUCGUAGGUUCAAAUCCUUCCAAUCUAG